UACGGAGGGUGCAAGCGUUAUCCGGAUUUACUGGGUUUAAAGGGUGUGUAGGCGGGCCUUUAAGUCUGGGGUGAAAUCUCCGAGCUCAACUCGGAAACUGCCCUGGAUACUAUCGGCCUUGAAUUAUGUUGAGGUUGGCGGAAUAUAACAUGUAGCGGUGAAAUGCAUAGAUAUGUUAUAGAACACCGAUUGCGAAGGCAGCUGACUAAGCAUAUAUUGACGCUGAGGCACGAAAGCGUGGGGAUCAAACAGG
rnacentral:rRNA from 1 species